rfam:Citrus clementina cultivar Clemenules unplaced genomic scaffold scaffold_9, whole genome shotgun sequence.
UAAAAGGGUCGGUUGGCUAAGUAUGCCUCACUCGCCCGCGUUUGGUGAGUGCCGUAUGGCAAUCAAGACAUAUGGCCGACAUAAUUUGUGGAACCUCAAAGGGUUGGCUCGCUUGGCCGACCCUCCA